ensembl:lncRNA
GUAGGAUUUGUGCUCAGGUAAACUUCUGCUUGUUUCAUUCCCACUGACCCAAGGUGGCUGACAUGUCUAAGAUGCGAAUAAGGUAUAGAGUCCUAAAUAAAAAUGUGCCUGAUCCAAAUAGGAAGCAAUAUGCAGGAUAACUUAAAGAAAAAAAGAAAAAGUGAACUCACUGUAUUGCUGGUCACUUCCAUGUGGGAAUAAACCGUUCAACAUGGAGUAGUAUAGGUACCUUUUUAAUGCUGAAAUGGGCAUGCUAAUUGUGAACUAUGCGGUCAGAAGCUCCUUCUAAAAUAUUCAGUAACUUAUUUACUGGAAUUUAACAAGCUGUGUACUUCAAAGCUUCUUUCACCUCUAAUUAAGUGCAUAAACUCUGUGAAUCGUAUUGGCAACUUGAGAUUUGGCACAGCAGCAGCAGUGCUGAAGCAGCCCCCACCGCUAGGAAAGGUACAAACACAGGCAAGUGACCUGUGAUGGGCUGAGAGACCUCGCUUACCAGGAUUUGCUCACGGUUAUGCUUCUGGCAACUGACAUUUCCAUUUUACUCAAAGCUUCUACCUUUGUGUCAUCAGACAAAGCCCCAUGAGUGGUGGCAGAGCAAACUGUAGCCUUCAUUCUCAAGUUUGAAGAGGAAAAGUUAUUUACAUGCCUAAAUCGCAGAACAUGAUGUUCAAAGGUCACUUUCUGUUACUCAUUGUUAUAAACCACUAAGUUUUCCAAAAGCUCUAUAAGGAAAAGGCACAUAGUUUGGGCAGAAACAUGUAAUUGGUUGUUUUCUUCUUUUAUUUUCUUUUCUUAUUGUAUGAUCUGAUUUUUGUACUACCAGAGGAAUGUCGAAGAUGAGAUGUUUCUGUCGUUCCGUACCAUGAACAAUUGCUUAAAGGGACCAUCAGAGACUGCAAGACAAAUCUAUGACCCUCCUUAAGAUUUUUAUGUUCUGAAGAGGAAUGACUUUUAAUUGGUUAGGAUUUUAGAGUUUAUGAUGUAAGGAAAAGUACUGAUUCCUGUAAUGACUGAUCCUUUACUGUUUUUAUUAGACUUUCAACUGAGCAUUUCUUAAACUUUCUUCUUAUGAAUUUAGACAAAUAUUUAAUUGUUUUAUUGCUGUAAUGCCAUUUCCCCCCACCCCAUUUUAGACAUAUUUUCCUGAAUGUGAGCCUGAAUUUAGUGACAAGCAGUCUGAUUUCCAGAAAUGUAUUGUUAUCAGUAAAAGUACUCCAUACCAAAAUGUGUGAAUGGAGAUGUUAAGAGAAAGCACAAAUAAUGCCUUUAUUCAUUACGAGAUGAAGCCCUGAGAAGUCAAGGUUAUUUAAUGGAAAUGAAUAAAUGCAGCUUGAAAUAUCUUUAUUUUCCAAACUGCAAGAGCAACUCAAACAAUAAGGAUAGCAUAUAAAGAAACAAACAACAAAGUCAGUUGAUUUCCUUAAAAAAUAUUUGGAACUUAAAAAAAAAAAAGAGGGAAAGCCGUCAUUUGACAUGGUGAUUAGGGUAGACUGAAGGACUCGGCUCAGAGGCUGCUUAUGCUGCUAUUGCACAGCAAAACUGUGUAGGGCAUUUAAUCUCUCUUAGUUUUCCUGUUUGUAAGUAACAAGCUGAUAAUGCUCACUUCAGUCUAGUGUUGUGCAAUAUUCAGAUGUUUCACAAUACAAUAGAAAAGUGUGUCACAGUGUACUUAAAAGUUGCCUGUUAAACUUCAUGUUUUUGAGAUGAAAGAAAAUUUCUGCUAUGCAUCUUGAAAGAGCUCAUUCCUUAAGGUGGUGGUGGCAGCUUUAAGCUUUUCUGAGAUAUAUUUUAUUUUUGUUUGUUUUUUUAACUGCUUAAUGGGCUAAUUUUUGGUAUCAUCUCUGGAAUAUGUAUGUCUCCUAUGACUGAAAGGAAGGAUGGUUGAUGCAAAUGAAAAAAGUCUCUUUUAGGAGAUCCUGUGAUCAGUAGAAUUCUGUCACCAUCACAAAAACAUACUUAGCAUGGCAUAUAUUUCUCAUUUCAGCUAAUAAACCUAACAUCUUUGUCUGGACAACAUCUCAAGCCUCUUUGCUAAAUGAUAUUACUGGAAGACUCCUUAUCAUUAAAGGAAUUGAGAUGGAGUCAGAUAAUAUGUAAAUUACAUAGCUUUUUCCCAUAAAUAAGCAAAUUGAUGUUUCCCAGUGUAGUAAAACACUUCUUAUUGGUACUGAUAAUACCACAGUCUUGAAGAGGUUAUCUAAAAAAGAUAAACUGAGAAAAAUUGGAUGCAACAUAUUUUCAAGUGGACAUCUACAUAAAUGUCUUCAGAUCAGGACUGUGUUUCUGAAGUUACUCUCCUGAUUAUCUCCACUUACUGUGCUAUGUUUAACACAGUGUUAAUGUCUUCUCAUGGGCAAGAACUAGCUUUCUUUUGGAGAACACUAAGCUGAGAUAUAUUGUCUGGAUACUGACGUCAGUACUCCAUUCUCAAACAGAUAUUAGGUUCAUGGAACCAUAUGAAGUGAUCCUGAAGUGAGGGCAGUAGGACUUCAACACUAAUUCUAAAGAGCCUGGUCAUAUUCUGUUUGUUACACUACUUGUUAUUCCUAAACACAUUUCUCAGAUCUGUAGGAAAUGGUCAUGGGCUCUUUCUGAGAAAGGCUUGAGCAGAGGUAGAUACCACCAAGCUAGAGUUAUUUAGAAAGAAACAAUUCUUUCCCCUUGGUUUGUACUUGAGCAACAAGGACAGUGCCCAGAAUAUUUUGCAUUGUAUUUCUAGCAUAACCUAAAUUUUUCUUCCGCAAUAUGGGCAUAUUAGCCACCCACAUUUCAAUUAUCUGGGACUACAGGUACAAUAGCUUAUUUGCUGUAGAUUGUCUCAUAUUCUAUAAAUAGAGAAAGAGAAUAUUUCUUGACAGAACAAGACAAAACUUGGAUCACUGUGAAUCUCCUCUCAAUAAUUUGGAUGACUGCACAUUUUGUACUGCAUGUAAGGAUAUCAGCAGGGAAUUAGUGAAAGUUGUACAAAACCUAUAUAAAACUAAAAGUUAUCUCUACAGAAAAUAUUGGAAAUACUAUUGAUGACUACUCUCAAAAUGGGCCCAUAGUAGUGCAGUUAUUUUUUCUCUUGAGUAUUCUAAGCCAUGCCCUAGGUUUGCCUAUAGCUUUAUGUUCUUGCUGUGGAGCCCUGAAAGGUUUUCCGGCAUUGAACAGUAGUCAGAGUCUAUGACAUGAGAGAUAUUAAAAAUAAUAAUAAUAAUAAAUCAUUUGUGCCUGAAACUUCCAGCAUUUAGGGUAGGAGAGGCAACUAAUCAAAGACAGAACCAAAAUGGUUUAUAAGAACAUCCAAAUUAGGAAUGCAGAAUUUUACUUUUGAGAUCAUCUGCAAAAUGACAAAGAUGUCCUUUACCUGCAUCAUUACCAGUAUUAAGCACCAGCUCACAGCUGAAGUACAUGUCAUAUCACUGAUACAUGCUUGUCAGAUGCCAUCGAAUAUAUUGAAUCUUACAGAAAAAAAAUGCAAAACUAUUAUAUGAUAACUGUAUUAUUAUAUGAUACAAAAGUAUGUGUUAGGAUUGCUGGUAUUGUAAAGAUUAAAUGAGAGAGUAAUCCAUUAACAUAACCUUUCAUGUAUCAUCUACCUUUAUUUAAAUCCAGAGUGGUUUAAGUUCUUAAGGGGGCAUCUUUUGGACUCAUUCAUUAAUGGUGAAAAUGACUAAUUUGUGUAUAGUCUAAUCAUGUUACUAUUUCAAGUUACUUUAAUUGCAGCACUUAGUAAGUUCGUGAAGCAGAAUUUCAUUCCAUCUGGUGAUUACUUAUUUACUUACAUUAAUCAUACAGUCAGAAAACAAGGAAUUAAAAAAAAAAAAAAGGAGCUACUGAAAACUUGAUUGAUCAUACUGGAGAAAUUAAUGUUAAUAAAUGUGUCCAUAUGGAACUUGAAAAUUUCAACACCCUUCAAGAAAUUAAUGUAGAAAACAAACAGGGAACUGCAAAUGCUGUGAUUUCCCUAAGAAACUUAAUUUUCCUACUAUUUGAACUAGCUAAUAUAUCAAAAGUAGACAAAUAUAAAAAAUAGCUAUUGAAGCUAUUUACAUUUUAUUAUUUUUUCAAUUCUUGUAUUGUAUAUACUUACUGAGUUUGCUUUCACUCUGCUGUGAAUCUCUGAGACAAGCUAGAUACUUGUGGGGACCUAUUAUGUUAGCUUAGGGAUAAAAACAGUGCUCCCACUUGGUCAUAUUAGGUCCUUCAGUAAACUAUUUUCAGGCUUGAACAGGUGCAUGACUGACCUGAGGAAGAGGUACGUUAAACAUUUUAGAAGUCUGUUACUUUCCAAGUCAUUAGUCCUAUUCUUCUGACGUCUCUAAAAUGCCCUAAAGCAAUCUACAGAUCAUUACCCUCUAACAGAUGACUUUUAGAAUUCUAUUCUCCAUCCACAACAAUUAUACAGAUGGACCUCUAUGUAGUGUAGUAUGACCAUCCUUGUCUGCUGUUUCAAACGUGGAAGCCAUUUUGUAUUCUUUAUAACUUGGUUGGUUGCUAAUAUAUCAAAAUCCAUAGUGAUUUAUACUGGCACAAAGUAUCUGUUUACAUCACAAGCAGCAGUUUUGCUGUACUGUUAUGGACGUUUAGACUACACAAAACAACAGGUUGCAAUGCUGUGCUUUCAGAGCUGCAGUGGUAUGUGAGUGGGCACAUGUGCACAGCAGAUCACUAGUUAUUGCAGCACAGGCAGCCUCUGCUUCUGCUAUAUAUUUUCACAACUGAUAGGCUUUUUUUUUUUUUUUUUUUUUUGUUUGGAGGUUGUCAUAUGGUAUAACACUUUUACUAGUUGACUCCUCCUACUUUUCUUCAAACCACAUCCUGAUUUUUGGCCUCAGAAACCAAACAUAUGCACAGCUUGCAGAACAACACAUGAUAUUGUUUCUGUAUAACAUCAUACCAGCUGGGAUAUAAAUUCUUACAGACAAUUUUAUGCGAAUGAAAAAUACCUACAUUAAGACAUUUUCCAUAGCUAUGCAAUAUAUACCACAGUAGAGCAUAUGGUCUACAGUCAGAGAUCCUCACUUAUAACUAUAACAAAAGCCCCAAGUCAGCCUCAGAUCUUCAGACAGUGUAAUUUUUAAUAGAUCAUUCUAAUUUCUUUCUAUUUUUUUCAUACUUCUUCUAUUGUGUUUUGGAUUUCUGGAAUCUAACAUCAGCUAUUUUGCUGUAUCGUUGAAGACCCUUAAUCUUUUUGAUUUAUCCAGUGUGGAGCACCAUAAAGCUAUUAUUUAACUAAAAAGCAACAAAUAUUUGGUGAAACUCUAAGUUGUAUCAUAAUCUGAAGAUAUAUCAAUAGCAAGAACUUAGAAUUUGUAGGAAAUAUAUUUCAACAUUUAUUUUCACUAUUAGAAAACUGUUCUAUAUCUGAUUUGUCAGUUUUCCCCAGAUUUUUUUUUUGUGGGUGGAGUACUUAUUUUAUUCUCCUUUCAUGAUAAAUAAGAUUUGGAUAUAAAUAUUUAUCACAUGACCUACAAACUUUAACCAAGUCACUCCCAAUACUCUUUUUCGAUAAUCAGUUAAUCACAGUAAAUAAUUUUCUCCUGCUCUCCAGUUAUGCAACUUUUUAUUUCCUUCUACCGUAUCUGUUAAAAUAUGGACAGCAGAACUAUGGGAAAUAUUCCAACAGUUUCAUCAGGAUUGAAAGAUCACAUUAGCUCUGUUCAUGCAGUUUUGCAGUAGGUACUCAUGUUGAAUUGCUAGUCCACUAUGGCCCAUAAAUUCAUGCAGAGCUGAUGCAUUUUGAGGCAAUAUACCAUUGUUUUGAGGGGUGGAAUUCUUUUGUAUUGAUGCAUAAGCUUGUAUUCAUCUCUUCUAAAAUGCUCUUUAAUUUUUUUUAAAUUAUUAUUAUUUUUAAUGUUCCUAACUUGCCAAGAGAUCUCUUCUUUCCUGAGAUCAUCAUUAUGUACUACUCACGUGCCUUUCAUCCUUAACACGGUAAUUUCUAUAUGCACCUCCAAUGAGGUGACCUCAGAGCUCAAAAUAUUCUCAGCUUCAGAGCUGAGAAUACUGAGCAGCACUGGGCCUAGAGCUGAUCCCCGAUGAAUAACAUUAAAAAGAGUCAAUAACAAUUCUCAUUUUAAGGUAUAUUUUGAUCACCUGUUGACCAACUUUUAAUGAAUUGAAAUUAUGAAUAUUAAUGCAAUGUAGUAGAUUCUUUUUCUUAAUAAAAAUAUCAUAAAAUAAA